UACGUAGGGUGCAAGCGUUGUCCGGAAUUAUUGGGCGUAAAGAGCUCGUAGGCGGUCUGUCGCGUCGGAUGUGAAAAUCCAGGGCUCAACCCUGGACCUGCAUUCGAUACGGGCAGACUAGAGUUCGGUAGGGGAGACUGGAAUUCCUGGUGUAGCGGUGAAAUGCGCAGAUAUCAGGAGGAACACCGGUGGCGAAGGCGGGUCUCUGGGCCGAAACUGACGCUGAGACGCGAAAGCGUGGGGAGCGAACAGG
rnacentral:rRNA from 1 species